rnacentral:rRNA from 1 species
UACGGAGGAUGCAAGCGUUAUCCGGAAUGAUUGGGCGUAAAGCGUCCGCAGGUGGCGAUGUAAGUCUGCUGUUAAAGAGUGAGGCUCAACCUCAUAAGAGCAGUGGAAACUACAUAGCUAGAGUACGUUCGGGGCAGAGGGAAUUCCUGGUGUAGCGGUGAAAUGCGUAGAGAUCAGGAAGAACAUCGGUGGCGAAGGCGCUCUGCUGGACCAUAACUGACACUCAGGGACGAAAGCUAGGGGAGCGAAUGGG